AUAAAACCGUUUUAGCGCUCUGUUUACGGUUGCCAAGCACCAAGGUUCGUAUAGAAAACGGAAGCGUUGGCCAUUUGCUGAAAGUUAUUCGGUGAUCACACUAGCAAACAUUAGCAAUAAAUAAAUAAAUAAAUAGAAUUUUGAUAACACUUUAGUAAAUAUGGCAAACCCUAAAGAAAAAGACCCUGUGGACAUAGUUCACCAGAAUGCUAUUCAUGUCGAGACAAUACUAAAGGAGCUGAGAUACCACUGAGUUUAACAUUAACCCCUUCAAGAAACGUGAGAGCAGAGCUUCACUUGUAGUACAGUAUCUAUGUCUCUGUAUUUGGCUAAAUAUGUAAAAGAGCCUCUUUGAGUUCACAUUCUGACUGACAAGCCAAUGUCCAACAUCACCUACAGAAAAGAAGAGGACCCUGCUUUCAUCCAAGCCAUACACAGGGCCUGUCUGGAGCCCACAAAAAAGUACUCUCACCCUCAGACUGAAGCUAUAGGAGCGACAGGAUGGUUAUCCAGUCCUUUACUCCUGGCCGACCAAGGAUCCAGAUCCUUGCCAAUGGGCCGCAUCCAUGCCCACAAGACAAUUGCCCCUACGGGCUAUACGCCGAGGACCUCUUUUCGAUGCAGUCCAGGGGCUAGGGCUUGAGGAGAGCAUCCUCAUUCACCUGUUUUUAGUAGGCCUGGACGUGCCCAUCAUUUGGGUGGAGCUGGGGGAGCUAGAUGCGUGGUCCUAUUGGGAGAUGGUCGACCACAUCAUCAUUUAAAGGAGAUGAAACUGCUGGAGGGUGCCCCCCUCCCAGUCUGGGCUGUUGUACCAGAACCACCUCAGGUCAUGCACAACAACAACAACAACAACUUCCAAGUUGUUGGGGUCAUUG
ensembl:lncRNA